UAGUUCCUUAUUUUUAAGAAAAUGUGUCUU
rnacentral:piRNA from 1 species